rnacentral:rRNA from 1 species
GUGGAUUAGAUACCCUGGUAGUCCUGGCUGUAAACGAUGGGUACUAGGUGUGGGAGGUAUCGACCCCUUCCGUGCCGCAGCUAACACAAUAAGUACCCCGCCUGGGGAGUACGGCCGCAAGGUUGAAACUCAAAGGAAUUGACGGGGGCCCGCACAAGCGGUGGAGUAUGUGGUUUAAUUCGAAGCAACGCGAAGAACCUUACCAGGUCUUGACUUCCCUUUGAAAGCCAUAGAGAUAUGGCCUCUCUUCGGAGCAGAGGAGACAGGUGGUGCAUGGCCGUCGCCAGCU